CGUCGCGUGAGGGAGGCCAGUCUUAGCCCGCUGCCAGCUUUGCGUGUCGCCACAGCCGUAGCAGGAGCCCCAGCGCAGUCAGCCGAGCGCCUUCCUCAGCGGCAGCACAGCGCGCAGUACAGUGCAGCGGGUAGCCGAACGCUCAGUGUAACAGGCGCAGCGUCUUAACACUCUCGUAACCGCGGGCGCCUUGCACUACAAGGGCUCGCGAACCAACGCCGGUCGGGCGACCACCUCGAGCGAGUGACGUCACAGCAGUUCGCGCGUGCGCGCGGACGCCGGAGGAUACUGCGCAGGCGCGAGUCGGGCCCCGGGCCACACAGCCGCCACCCUGGACGCCAGUGUGCUAGCCGCCAUGGACAAGGACGCGCUCAAGAAGCAGAUAGAGAACAUGAAGUACCAGGCGACCAUGGAGCGCUGGCCCCUCUCCAAGAGCAUAGCGGCGAUGCGCGAGUACGUGGAGGAGAACGAGAAGAGUGACCCCCUGAUCCACGCGCCGGACAAGAAGAACAACCCGUGGGCCGAGAAGGGCAAGUGCGUCAUCAUGUAGGGCGCGCCCUGCCGCGAGCCCUGGGACCACGACGACAGCCGCCUCCCACCCGCCGCCCCCAGCCUCCGCCCCCGACCACGACCACGACCACACCCUCCGUCUCCGGCUUCGGCAGCCUGCUACCGCCUCCCAUCUCCGGCGACUUCCUCGGGCGUGUCGUUGUCCUCGCAAACAAGUCAAAAAUGUGUUCACAUUUCACGAGACGGUCCUCGAAAUGGAGUGAGCAACAAAGGCGGACUGCUUAGAGGAAAAGGGAAGAAUGGAUACCUGCUAGUUAAAACAAUCUAUUCCGUUGAAUUUAAGGGGGUUAAUAGAUACGAGAAAUUUACUAUUACUGCGUGGAUCUAGCCACCAACAUACAAUCAUAACGAUCAUUCUUAAAUUAUUCAAAAGCGUCUAGUGUAAGACCCGCUUCGGAAGAAAGCGGUAUUGCUUCAGAUAUUUUAGUUUCGUCCAUUUCACCUACGAUCGAAUCAUCUUAUCACAGAAAUCAGCGCGACCUAUUCUCAUGGCAAGCGAGGGAUGCACAGUUCUCGUUUAAUCAAAGUUUCCAGCACUUUUACAUGUAAGCAUGCUGUUUGAUCUUAGUACUUAAACUUUAUAUACCAGAUCACUUGAGCGUAGUUAUUCGUGGUUAUACCGCGUUCACUGUAGAGUUUCACACUUAGUACUGUACCUUUAAGAACUGAUUCCAAUUAGAACUGAAUUGCCAAACCGGAUGUGUGACGAAGUUAGCAACUGCUGGCUCUCGUCGAUAAUUAUAUUUUACAGCCAGUCCUAACCAGUCUCGAUCUAAUCGUAAAGAUGAUGGAAAUUAUCCAAAUAACACUAAAGAUACGGUUGCCUUACUGUGAAAUUGUCGCCUAAGGCGAUUUCAAACCCCAUAGCGCGAACAAACACGUAGAUUUUGUAGGAUGUCUCCUACUGAACGUCAGCAGAUGUGGGAACACAGCAGUAGACUCGGCUAAAUUGUGGGAACCUCUUUUUGAUAAAAUUCUUGGUAUAGCUUUGCAAUGCGAUUACUUUUAAGCCCUUACGAGAUUGAACUUUAGCAUUCUGUUGCAUUUGUAAAUGUUUGUUGUAUUUUCAUCAUUUGAGAUAUCAGAUUCCCAGAGCAUGAGAGUGUUUGCACUUAAAUAACGUCACUUAACUCCAGAUAAUUAAAUUUGUACUUCAAUUUUAAGAAAUUAAAAUAGCGUUGUAAAUGUACUUAUAAUAAAAACCAAAACAGAGUCACCAAUCCACGUCACACUUUGUGCGUUUAGUGAUAUCGAAGAUUUUCCAGUCGUUAAAGUUUCGCACGUGUAUUUACUAUUUAUUAAUGUAAGAAUAAUUUAUAUUUGAACGGUGAGCCUGCAUGAAAAGAAUAACAGAUGUUGCUGCCUGAAAGUUCUAAAAAUGUCCUUGACAGUAUUCGGAAUUCGUAAUCAACUCGUUAUCACCUUGAAAUGGCCUAAAUUUGGAAUUUUCGUAUUAAGAAGACGAUAUUUUGUAUACCGAAAUUCUCUGAAUGGAAAGGCCAGUGAGCAGAAGUCAUAACAUUGACAUUGUUGUUAAGAAGCAAUGUUUUUCAGUCGUGGCAAUUGUCAUGCACGGCAGUCUGUGGGCGUAGAUCUCAGUAAUUCCAUUGCUCAGGUACUUAGAAUUUCUUGCGUAAGCAUUCAGAAAUCGAAUAUUUAAUGUUUUCUUAGUUGUUAAUGUUUAUUACAGUUUUUGAUUGCAGAAACGACGUACUCGCUUUUUCAUUUGACUAUAGGCAGAGGGAACUAGUGAAUUUAACUACUCAGAUCUAGUUACAACGCAGACCACGGACUGAUUCGACUUCUAUACCGUCAUUAACAAUGCUAGAUAGUGUUUGGUCCUAGUUAGCAAAAGUGUUCUCAAAGAAUUGUUCACUUCGCUCACUGUAGUUCUUCUAACUAAUCUAUAAUCUCCCACACUAUGAGUGCUUAUUGAACUUUUCAACUCUUAUUUGUUUCAAACGUCUCUCGUAUUAAUCAUAAAAUUAUACGCAGAAGAAAAUCUCCCACAGGUGUAACAACAUCACAUGCAGUAUCUCCUCGUCUCAGAGAAGCUAUUAUGGAGUAUACAUUAAAUGUCCACUAUCAUUUGUUGUUUUCAUUGUUGUAAGAAAUAGAAUUCCCUACUGCCUCAUUACAUACUUAAAAUAUUGUGAAUGUAUUUUCAUUACGUAGUUGGUUAUUUAUUUAUUAUAUUAUUUCUGUAUUCAUAUUGUGUAACCAUCUUGUCGUGAAUUUGUACAUGUAAAUAAAGUUGUCAUUUCUUGUGACU